rnacentral:rRNA from 1 species
AUACGUAGGGGGCAAGCGUUAUCCGGAAUCAUUGGGCGUAAAGGGUGCGUAGGCUGCCCUAUAGGUCAGAGGUCAAAGGCUACGGCUCAACCGUAGUAAGCCUUUGAAACUGUAGGGCUUGAGUGCAGGAGAGGAGAGUGGAAUUCCUAGUGUAGCGGUGAAAUGCGUAGAUAUUAGGAGGAACACCAGUGGCGAAGGCGACUCUCUGGACUGCAACUGACGCUGAGGCACGAAAGCGUGGGUAGC